AUUAAAAUCCGUCGCUAAAAUUGGCGCUUGCUUUGUAGCUACGGAAUUAGCGGCAAAAGUUCUGUCGUUAAAUUAAUGAAAACUUAAUAUGGAUUUAACCACGAAUUAUUCGUCGCAAGCUAUAUUUAAACUAUUAAAAAUACCUUUAAAAUAGCUCGACGAAAUAUUUCCGUCGCUAGUUUUUUUUUUUUUUUUAAAAUGAAAAUAUUUUUCUUUGGGUACUGGUUGAUACACUUAACAUUUAACAAAACCCUAGUCUUUCUUCUAUAUCGGCGCUCUCGUUUCUAUCGCCUCUCACGUCUCUCAUCUCACGUCACCUGCAAGUGAAAUUCCACUUCAGUUGUUGAAUUGUUUGAUGUUAUUGCGAAAUUAGCAGUGAUAGUAAAGGUUGAAAUUCAAGGACUUGGCUCAAAUCGGGAAAGGAAUGUUGAUAAUGACAUAGAUUAGUUGGCCGCCUCUUAUGCUAUUGAAGUUGUUGAAAAGGUUCGAGUUUCAACACCAAGUGAGAAAUGUGUAUAGGUUGUUGAAAAGGGUCGAUAUCCAACGCCAAGUGAGACACAUUUGUAUGUCUAUUCAAAUGAUUGAUGAUCAUCAGCCUUCAAUCACGAAUUAGUUAGUUUUUAUUUGCUUGGACGUUAUUGUUGGUGUUUCAGAUGUAUCAAACUCAACUAUAUAAUUAUUAAAUGCAUAAUGUUACUUAGGUGCCGUUUGGUCAUAAAUACCAAAAACAAAUUCACUUU